CCCGCCGGGAGGGGCGGCAGAUGGAGAACCCCCCCGCCCGGGCUAGGGAGGGUGUGCCCGGGAAAGAAGACCGGGAGAGGAGGGGGCGUCUCCCCAGGCGGCUGGGACGGCUCCUCCGGGGGUCCGCGCCUUUCCAGAGAAACUCAGCGUUCGCAGACUCCUGCCCGGGUGCCCAACGGACAGCGGCCCGUGGCCCGGAGGGUCCUGCCCAGGGACCCGACGCUCAAGGCGGAGCUGGACUCCUUCUCCCCACCCUCCCGUGGUCACUGCGGGACCUGGUGGUCGUCACGCCCCAUUCCUCAACUUCAGGUGGCCGCUGCUUUAGCCUGGAGGGCUGGGGACAUCUGGAAUGCAAAGUCCCGCGCAGCUGCUGCGGGGAGAGCUCCUAACUGGAUCACUGAGCGCGGAAAAGCAGCGCGCAGCGGAGCGUGAAGGCGGGGUGCGGGCUCAAGACAGAUGCGGAAGGAUCACUCUGGCCAAUUGUAGACCACAGCCUAUAGGAGUAGCCAAGGAAGCCUGAAGUCUAAUUAAGAGCUGGUUCAAGGCACCCAGGAGUCUUGGAUGCUUGCACUGGAGUAAGAGGAGCAAAGCUGUGAAGUCGAGACAAGGACCAGUUAAUGAUGCCUAGUGGAAGUGAAGCCAGCAGGAUGUGCUGAUGGAUGGGUGUGGACUGUGGGAGGGAAAGAAGAGGCCACUGUUUUGGCCCAAACAACUGGGUACCUGAGGGUUCUCUUUAUGGAGGUGAGGAAGAGAGGGGGUGAGUGACCUUGGUUGGUACAUUGGUACAGAUGAGGAAACUGAGGCUCAUAGAGGAGAUUAAGCCACUUGCUGGUAUGUGACAGCCCAUACAUUGAAAAUCAGCUCUCUGCACCCCCUGGAAGGAGCCGGGCCAGUUUAUGACCACCAACCCUAAGGCAAAUUGAGUAUUGCAUUGGUACGAACCGUAAGCCAUAUGUCAUCCCCUCUUUCAUUAACUCCAGGUCUAAGUCUGGCUAAGGUAGAGAGGAGUCAGAGGUGUGGAAUGUAGAAAUAAUACAUUCUUCCUCUCUCCGUGUGGAUAAAGAUUCCAGCCUUUAUUCCAUCUAAUGAAAAUAUAUUUAGGGAACAUUUAUUGGGGGCCAUUCGCUGUCUGCCCUUGUUCCUUUAUUUGUUUGCUUGCUCAUUCCUCGUUCCAUGUCAACUCCAUGAGGGGACAAUGUCUGACGUGCUCACCCCUGUAUUCCUAUCCCCUAAAACAAGUGUGUAUGUGAAGAUAAGUCCUUGUCCAAUGAAUGAAUACUGUAAAUCCA